rnacentral:piRNA from 1 species
GACUUCCAGAUUUCUUUAAAGUUCUUCAGA